AACUAAACCCUAAAUCAGCAGCAAUUUUAAUUUAAAAAGAAACAAACCCUACAAAAAACUAAAGACUCCCUCUGCGCGCCGCUCAACUAACAGGCCGUUCGAAAGCCCCCUUCGCCUUUUCGUGCCUCCGAUUGCGACGGAGGGAACUGAGGUUCGACCACCAGGUACGGUGUACAGAGGUGCGUGGCGUGGAGGCGCACGCGCGGGGAAGAGGCGCGCCUGGGCUACUGCUAUGGCGGCUGAAAUAGAAAGCUGCUGAGGAAGGCUAGGGUUUCCUGUUAUUUUUGGUAUUGGGUUUUUGAGUUUGGGUUAAUGGUUUGGGGCAAAUUAAUGGGCUGUUUGUAUUGGGCCUAGUGGGUUAGCAUUUAAGCAUUUGGGCCACUGUAUUGGGUUGAUUUUGGACUGUAUUAAUUAUUAUUAUUUUUGUUUUUUUGUGUUAUUUAUACGGGCCCAGGUAAAUUGGGCUAUUACAAUCA